GACGAACGCUGGCGGCGUGCCUAAUACAUGCAAGUCGAGCGAAGUUUUUCUGGUGCUUGCACUAGAAAAACUUAGCGGCGAACGGGUGAGUAACACGUAAAGAACCUGCCUCAUAGACUGGGACAACUAUUGGAAACGAUAGCUAAUACCGGAUAACAGUAUUUCUCGCAUGAGAGAUAUUUAAAAGUUGGUUAUGCCAACACUAUGAGAUGGCUUUGCGGUUCAUUAGCUAGUUGGUGGGGUAAAGGCCCACCAAGGCGACGAUGCAUAGCCGACCUGAGAGGGUGAUCGGCCACACUGGGACUGAGACACGGCCCAGACUCCUACGGGAGGCAGCAGUAGGGAAUCUUCCGCAAUGGGCGAAAGCCUGACGGAGCAACGCCGCGUGAGUGAAGAAGGAUUUCGGUUCGUAAAGCUCUGUUGUUAGGGAAGAAUGGAUAUGUAGUAACUAUACAUGUAAGAGACGGUACCUAACCAGAAAGCAACGGCUAACUACGUG
rnacentral:rRNA from 1 species